rnacentral:lncRNA from 1 species
GAGUGUGGGUUUAAUAAGGCAAAGCCUUUCGAUGGAUUUGCACAAAGUGUAACCAAAAUUUCAUGAAGUAUAAUUUAAAGUGAACCGGGUGCACAGGUCUCAAGAGUUUUCCGGGGGUUGGUUUCAUGUCAGAAAUACUACACAAUUAGUUAUCUAAAUACCACUCUAGAGCCCUUAAAAGUCUCUGUGCUGAUGGCGAGGUUCGCACAGCGCCCAGAGGGGUUUCUGUGUU